AAAAGAUUGCGGCGACUGGCUGCAAGACACAGGCAAAAUGCGCAGGGAAAAUGUCUAGCUGUUGCCUGAUCCAAGAGCUGAUUGGAUCUUUGCUUCAACCACAAACACCAUGUUUUAUAUAAAAUCCUGAAGUACUGUGUGAUUGUGAUAUUCAACACUAGAUUGUAGGCUCUUCCUUAUUAUGUGCAAUGAAAGUUUAAUCUGUUAACAAACGCAUCUUGUCUGGUUGAUGACAAAGUUUAUUUGUAUCUGAACGUGGUCAGCAAACUACAGAAACUCUACAGAUCUAACUGAUGCAAACACUUCUGCAAAUAUAUACUGUCAAUAGUGUAUACCUGUAUAUUCUUCAAAGUCAAACUGUCAUCAUUCACACAGCUACACAUUCACAUCGCACCGCUGUCCCAAUGCAUUUCUCAACCCUACUUUAGAGAAUUGUACAGCAAGAGUUCAUCUUAUUCCACAUUCCUACAGACUGUCACUUACCUCCCACCCACUGAGUGAUUGGUCAAGUGCCAGGGAAACUGAAAAAUAAAUAAAAUUCUAUCUCACAUUUGCAGGUGACACUAGUCAAGUAGUAUUUUGGUUGUAUUGGAACUAAUUAAUUACAUAUUUUACAGUAAAGUAAAAGUGCUUUGGCAGUGUUAUGUAUCUGAAUAACACAAAAUACAAAGUCAUUAUUUGAUAUGUAUCUGCACAAUGUAAGGACAUAUAGUAGGUAAGAAAAAUUAAAACUCCAACUUCAUUCUAUAAAAGCAUAAAGCAUGAGUUGGUAUGUCCCAACUCAGAGUAUUUACAUGUCAAUAUUCAUUUACAUUUUCAGUGCCACUAAUUGCUAAGCUUUCAUUAAUAAUCAAAGUAUCACAACUGUAGAUGCCAAGUUACAGUUAUGAUUAAAAGAAAAGCGGUCGUGAGCUUUUAUUUUGAAGGGUGAGUUGGUUGGUUUCAUGGGUGACGCCUUAUUUAUACUUUCAGUUGGCCUGACUAGUAAUCCUCUAGUCCUGCUUUGUUUCUUUGUGGUCCGAUUGCGAUAGCUCUGUACAUGAAUCUUCUCUGUUGGCUGUUUCUAAUGAAAAGUAUGUGGAAGAGCAAAUGUUAUCUUGAAUAUACAGACACUGGUGUCGUCAGCAGAAUUAUGCUGAUAACAUGUUGGCUGAGUGUACUUGUGUGAGUUAUAUAAUGUACUUUAUGAAAAGGCUGUUUCAGAUGUCAACACUGGAAGAGAAUAAAGUUCAGACACUUCACUCUUCCCAUACAUGUUAGUACUGUUUUCUGUUCUAACCAAAUAAAGGAAGUGUCGUGCUGAAAAUGAAUCAGCAUGUGACUUCUUGUAAGUGACAUUUCCUUCUGUCAGUUCUGGAUAUAAAUGUUAUUUUAACAAAACAACAGUGCUGACAAGCUCAAGCUGUGGCAUGAUUGUUGUGAUCUUCACAUGUGGUGGAAAAAAUACUUUUUGGUAAAAUUAUGUGUUUCUGCACUGUUAUGGUCAACGGACCUUGCCCUACUCUGCAUGUGAUGAGGUUUGCACAGUGUGGAAUUUCAGUGAAGAAUUUUCCACAAAUAAAGAAGUAUGCAAUAGAUUUUCCUUGUGGCACUAAAGGAACCUCAAUAUUAGAUUUUAAAAAAAAUAAUAGAUUUAACCUUGCAAAAUGUAUUCAGAAAAAAGAUGAGUAAAUUGUGAUUUUUGUCCUGAUGCAACAAUUAUUGAUCUUGUUACUGUUGACAUUUGACACAAAGCUUUUUCUUCUGAACUAUUACGAGAGGAAAGCCUGCAACUUGUUUUGCAUCUCAACAUUAGCUGAAAAUGAAAGGUUUAGUUCAAAUGUCAAACAAUUUUUAGUUCCAACAUGAAACCAAAAGAAGGAUAUGGAUAUAGGAUAUAGGGAGAAAAUCAAAUCUCAGUUCUUGUACAUAGAGAGAAAAAAAAUUAUGUUAAUGUUAAAUGUAAAACGUUAAAAUGUACCUACCUAUAGUGGUCUUCAUCAGAGGGUGCUCUGGUGAUGAAAUUGACACUGAGAUUAGUCAACUCCUGAAAAUAAGUGUGUGUUAGCUUAUUGCCUUUGGGUAUUCAACAAUGAACCUUUUUUGGUUUAGCACCAACAAAGUACUGGGGAGACGGUAACAGCUAAAAUUGUGAAAUGUGCCUUUAAGAGACUGUUGCCUAGAGAUGAAGCAGACGACCACCCACCUAGAGCCGGGGUCUGUCCAAGGUUUCUGCCUCUUAAAAGGAAGUUUGCCCCCGUCGCCAAGGUCUUGCUCAUGGUGGUACUGUUGGGUUUCUGUAAUUAAUGUUUUAAGGAGUUCGGUCUAGACCUGCUCUAUUUGAAAAGUGUCCUGAGAUAACUUCUGUUAUGAAUUGGCGCUAUACAAAUAAAAUUGAAUUGAAUGCGAGAGAAGUGUCAGACAGCACCCAACCUGGUGUUGAGUUAGUUGAGCGGUACACCUGUUAUGAAUGGAUGUCUGUUGCUACAACAGCUGUGUGUUUGUCUUUUCCCACUUCCUUCAAGCUAACAUCAGCUCAACCAAGAAACACUUAUUUCUUGAAUUAUAACAAAUAUUUUUCAAUAAACAAAACAACAGCCGACCAUGAGACGUUCAAAAACCAUAUUUCUGUGCGCCACACCUGUACCACUUAGUGUGCACCUUUAUUAGACUUGUGGCCACCCACAGUUAAACACCUUUAAAUAUGGAAGAUAAGAAGAUAACACCUUCCUACAAUUCCAACAACAUUUAAAAAGCUGCAUGUUAACAAAUACAAACGAUCAAAAUGACUACUUCAACUGUGGGUGUAACCUUAUCUUUCGUUCAACAUCACAUUGCGAUACUCAUAAAAAACUGACUUCAGUGAAAACCUGAACCGUGUAACAGGGCUGUACACAUGUUUCUUUAGUAUUGUGUGAUAUUUAGUUAAAUGCAUUAUUCAGUAUGAGACAUUUAAGAGUGGGUCUUUGUGUGUGUUAGAGCACAACAAACUCAUGUUCUUGUUUGCCCUUUGUUUUAUAUAUUUUGUUAUUGUUCUGCCCCCUUUGUUGUUUAUAUUUCAUUUUGCAGAUCUCUCUCUCUCUCCACACUCCUAUCUGUUUUUCACAAGAUGGUGGGGACUGCAUGGCUUGGACUGUGUAAGACAUUGUUUGUCAUGGAGCACAAAGUGACCUCUGUAGUUGUGCACUGAUUGGAUUGUUGAUAAGCACUGUCCAGAAACCCAAGUGAAGGACGAGCAGUGACUAAUAUAGGUAUGCGUUGUGAUUGCUAGACUGCGUCAGCCUAGUUGGUCGUGUGUACAUACAAUUCUUCAUUUUGCAAAAAAGUUUAUUCUCUUAUAACAAAAGAACAGCAUGUGCAUGACUACAUGGUCAAAAACUGUGCGCUCAUCCACCUUCACUGAUGAGCUCACCUAUAUCAUUCCCUGCACCCAUACGCCACCCAGUUUGCACAAUAUCACAAAAAAUAAACAAAUAAUACAUACAUAAAAAUGACAGCAACAGUAUGUAUACCAGUAACCAUAUGUUUAUGAUUUAUGUUUAUGAGUUAUUAUGGCCCCUUGUUGACAAGCUAUAAUCAACAAUGGAUGCCUUAUGUUUUCAAGUUUAAUAUGAUACCAGAAUCUUCACUCUAGCGUUAAAACUGAGCCCUCUACAGCUUAUAAAAGACUAAUGUUGGUUACAGACAUCCUAGUGCAGUUUAACAGCCCUGAAUAUGUACAGUAUAACAGCAAAAUGGGGAGAUGAGAAAAAGGCUUACCCUUGUAAACCAUCUCUCUGUGACAGACUGCUGUGAGGGGAAAAUAUAAAUGGUAAAUGGACUGUACUUAUAUAGCGCCUUUAUAGUCUUUUGACCACUCUGUACACUACAUGCCACACUCUCCCCAUUCACACACAUUCACUCAAUGAUGGCAAAGCCUAUCAAAUAGAAACUAACAUUCAUACACAUUAACAUACUGAUGCACAGCAUCAGGAGCAAUUCGGGGUUCAGUAUCUUGCUCAAGGAUACUUCGACACGGCGGCAGGAAGUGCCGGGAAACGAACCCACAACCUUCCGAUAAGGGGACGACCCGUCCUCAAUGUAAUGUGCGUUAGUUAUAACAAUUAACUAACAAUUAUUCAAAAUAUUAUUGAAAUCACAAUAUGCAAAUUUCAGAAGCUGCAAUUAGUUUGAUAAAGGUAAAAUAUGUUGUAUAUAAUUAUAAUAAGGUGUCUCAAGAUUUAAGAAAACAUGUUUGGUACAGACCCCAACUAAUGUCACAUUAUCAUAAUUUUAAUAGAUUUCUUUCAAUGAAAAUUAAAUUUGUGAUGCAAAUAUUGUCAUCUCCUGCACUAAUAGUAAAUUAUAUUGCAAUAGUAAUAUCUAUCAAAGUAAUCACAAUACAACACCAUAUAGUGCAGCCCUAGUUAGUUUCAGACAUCUCCUUUCAUUUAGGAUCUCUUAGACCACUGUGCACUCUGAAAUCUUUUUUCUUUAGGAAUUUCCCAUUUCAUUAUUUAUGGACUUUGGGUUCUUCUUUUUAUGGGGAAGCAGUUCAUUAGCAAUUUCCACCUUUAUGCAUACAAUGUUAAGUCUUGAACUUGAGUUUAUUUUUUUAUGCAUUUGUCUUCUUGUAGUCCAUUAUGAGCACAUAACUUCCAUAAUCCCAACAGCAUGUAUAUAUGGCAUACUCCUUCAUUCUGCAGGCACAACAGGGGAAAUAUCACAAACAAAUGCAGUUGUGUUCCACACAGUGAGUAACAGCCCCAGUUCACAAGCCUCCAAUGUUCUUCAGUCCAUUGUGUAACCAAAAGUUUUUCCCCCGCAAAUAUUAUCAAAAUCACUAUGUACCAUAUGCACAUUGCAGAAGCUGCAGUUGGUUUGGUAAAGGUAAAAUGUUUGUCAAAUCAGCAUUAUGUUAAAGUACUGUAUAGUUCAGAAAAAGAUACCCUACAAAUCUUGUUGUAAGAAAACAUGUCUGUUUGAUGGUGAUUUUUGUGUUGUGAGGCAGCCAACUCAGAGUUACACUGCAACAUUAAAGGAUCAUUGUACCGAGGGAGACCUAGAUGAACAAUUGUUCAUCUAUGUAUUUGAUGGUGUAUAAGGCAAGGCACUCUUAAAGUCUGGGAGAGAACAACCAUGCUGAGGUCUUCUCUCCAUGCUGCAUGAAGUAAAGAGACUUGAUUCAUCACACUGGGUCUGUAACUACCAACUAUCAAUAUUUAGAAGAAUUUCUCGAACAAUAGUUGAGGGACAUUCAUUCAAAGAUAGUGAAUUAAGAGUAUGCUUUGUGGCAAAGGCACCAUACUCUUCAGAAUUGACUUGAUAACUAUAAACUCCAGAGAAAUGUGAAUAUUAUGUUUGUCAAUUUAUAUUAUUCACUGUUUACAUUCAAAAGUUGGUUUAAAGUUUUUAUCUUGUUCACAAACUAAUUGUAAAUAUAUUUUUGGUGUUUCUUGUUGUCUGUAUGAGUAGCAUUGUUCCACACAAGAGCCCUUCACAAUAAAAUGUUAGGCCUAUGAUUCA